rnacentral:rRNA from 1 species
UACGGAGGGGGCUAGCGUUGCUCGGAAUUACUGGGCGUAAAGGGAGCGUAGGCGGAUAGUUUAGUGAGAGGUGAAAGCCCAGGGCUCAACCUUGGAACUGCCUUUCAUACUGGCUAUCUUGAGUACGGGAGAGGUGAGUGGAACUCCGAGUGUAGAGGUGAAAUUCGUAGAUAUUCGGAAGAACACCAGUGGCGAAGGCGACUCACUGGCCCGUUACUGACGCUGAGGCUCGAAAGCGUGGGGAGCAAACAGG